rnacentral:rRNA from 1 species
UACGUAGGGGGCUAGCGUUGUCCGGAAUCAUUGGGCGUAAAGCGCGCGUAGGCGGCCCGGUAAGUCCGCUGUGAAAGUCAAAGGCUCAACCUUUGAAUGUCAGCGGAUACUGCCGGGCUAGAGUCCGGAAGAGGCGAGUGGAAUUCCUGGUGUAGCGGUGGAAUGCGCAGAUAUCAGGAGGAACACCAACGGCGAAGGCGGCACUCUGGGCUGGAACUGACGCUGAGGAGCGAAAGCGUGGGGAGCGAACAGG